GAUGAAGAGAGUGAGGUAGGAGCCCUCGCUCAGGCUCCGUACCGAGUCGAAGCCCCGCUCCUUGCUGUAGCCCAAAAGGACUGGGGGGAUGUCAAUCUUGAAUGUUCCGUCAAUCUGUGAAGAAAGCAGCACCCGCCACCAAGCUGUUGAUGCUACCAUGAUGCCAUCCUGACUUCCCGGGACAGACGACCUCACCAGUAUGUCCUGGAACCUCUCCGCCCCAGAGAUCUGCCCCACUAGGGAAACAGGCUGGGAGUAUGGAUCCACCUGCCAAUGUCCACAUUCAGUGGAGAUGCAAUUACAGAAGCCAGACCUUCCACCUUCUACACCCCAUAAAGAAUUUUGGUCCAAACUCCCAGAGGGAUAAAGAAUAGAGAAGCUGUUAAUGAAGGGGAUGGGACACAGGAUUCUGGCGGUGGGAACUGUGUGGAAUUAUACCCCUGUUAUCUUACAAACCUGUUAUUCAUUAUUAAGUAACUAAUAAAAAAUUAAAAGAAGAAAUAUGCAUAGGCAAAAAAUAAGUAAAUAAAAUGAAAUGGAAGCAAGAGAA